CCCUCUGUCCUGUCCUCCAUGAGCUUGGAAGAAAUGGUGAUGGUCCCUAAGAGGAAAGAAAUCUCAGUCCCUGAAAGACUGUAACCCGUAUUGAGGAGCCACAUGAUAAGAUGAGGACAAUUGUACUGAUAUCCCUACUUCGCAGAAUCCUUCUGACGUUUGCAUGAGGCAGCCCACAGUGAAGUCAUUCACAGCCUGGAUGCUGGAGCUAGAUUGCUGGGUUCGAAUCCUGAUUGCUGUUGUUGUUUAGUUGCUAAGUCAUGUCUGACUCCUUGCAGCUCCAUGGACUGCAGCACACAAGGCUUUCCUGUCCUUUACUAUCUCCCAGAGUUUGCUCAAACUCAUGUUCAUUGAGUCAGUGAUGCCGCCAUCUCAAAUCCUGAUUGGACCACAUACUAUCUACAUGUUCUCUCUCACUUUCCUAUUCUGUAAAUUGAAGGCAAUAAUGCUAUCUGUCUUGUGGGAUCUUUGUGAAGACUCAACAAGUUAAUAUUUGUCAGGUGCUUUUUCUACUACUUGAUUUAUUGUAAGUGCCAUGGAGAUUUUUGUUAAAUAAAUGCAAGUAUUUGGCAAUACA